rnacentral:lncRNA from 1 species
UGAUUUUAUCCUUCAGAAGAUAUUUGACAGUGUCUGGAGGUAGUUUCCAUUGCCAUAGGUACAGGAGAAGCAUCUGCUAAUGCCAAGGCCGGUCCCUAAAAUCAAAGACUUUUUCCAUCCUCAAAUGUCAAUGAUGGAGAAGCUGAGAGACCCUGGAGAAGCUGAGAAGCCCUGGAUGAGAGAAGCUGAAGUGUAGACAUGAUUCUUUGAAGUAUGCAGAAGGAGGGAGCAUUUCCUAAGUCCUGUGAAACCAUGCUAACACAGAGGACAGAGCAGAGCUGAAGAAGAUGGAGAGAGAACAGAGAGUCAGAAAGGGCAAAGGACAUGCUGAAGGUCCAUGUGGAACACGGGAGACCCUGAACAGACAGAGCAACCUGGAACAAGAAGAGCAAAACUGGGAGGAACGACAGUAUGUGAUGUCAAAGCGAAUCACAAUCCACUGUGAGCUGUUAGCGAGCAUGACCACGUAACAGUGACAGAAAGCAUGGAUGUUAACAAGGAUAUGGAGAAAGAACCACAUUCCCAACCUGGUACCACUCUAACUGUAAUCCAACUUAAUCCAAGCCAACACAGACAUAAGCAUAAUCCUUAAUGCAACCCAACAGAAGCAUAAACCUAAACCAACUCAGACCAAGCCAAGUCGCUCAACAUUAACCCUAAACUUGUCACUAACCCUAACCAAACCUGACCCUAAUCCAACACAACAUAACACACUCAACCCUUACCAGAACCUUAACACAGCCAACCCAACCCUAAUUCAACACAGCACAACCUAACCAAAGUCCCAGACCUAAUCUUAUUGUAACCCAACCCAAACCUACCCAUAAACCAACUCAAUACAACCCAGUCUACUCAACUCUAAUCCUAACCUUACUAACCCAAAUCAACUCAACCCAAAUUCAACCCAAUCCUAACCCUAGCUCUUACCCAGUCCAACUCAGCUCGACCCUAACUCGACCAACCUAAAUGUAACCCUCACACUAACACCACCAGUGGGCUAUGAACUGAUAGAGAUACUAUAGAAAACAUCAUAGGGCCAUCCCUAACAACCCUACCCCUAACUGUAAUUCAAGGACUAAACAUUCUACCACAUAAUCUAUUCUGAUUCCUCUGUAAACCAAAAGUAAUUGAAAUCAGACUUUCAGAGAGCUUUACACACUUCCAAAAGUUGUAGUUAUUCACAAAGGCCAAGACAUGGAAGCCACCCACAUGUCCAAGGAUGGAUGGAUGGAUGGGUGGAUGGAUGAUAGAUAAAUGGAUAAGGAAACCAUGCUGCAACAUAUACAUAUAUAAUUAUGGUUCAUUGUGUGAGAUUCUAGUAUAUGUAUAUAUUUUGGAUAGCUAGGUCAAACCAAUUACAAUAUAGAUAUGUUAUGGGGAUAUAUAUAUAUAUGUGUGUGUGUGUGUGUGUGUG